UUUUAAAAGGCGAUUUAAAAUGAUGUGUCCAAAAUUUGGGUCUUGGAAAUAACGUUACUUUUUUUAUCAGUAUAAUAAUCCCAAGCACACGGCCCUCAACGUUCGCCUUUGGUGAGUCUAUAAUUGUCCACAACUUCUGAAAACACCACCUCAGUCACUAGAUUUAUAAAAUAUAUUUGGAGAGAAUUAGAGGUUAGAGUGUGAAGAAACAAUAAUAAAACGAAAACUGAACUUAAUGAAAACAAUAAUGACGGAUGAAUGAAGGAACAUUGAUGCAGAUGUUACAAAAAAACUAGUGAAUUCUAUGCCCAGACGUUUGAAAGCUGUCAUAAAUGCUGCAGGAUAUUCUACAAAAUACUAACUGACAGAAAUUACAAUAUUUACCAAUACGUGCAGAUUUCUUUAAAGUGUACGAAGACUUCUGUGAGAAUCAUCUGUCAGCCUGAAUUCGUGACUGAGCAAAAUCACCUCUGCAAACACAAAUGAUGACGAAGAUGAUGAAGAAUCGGAAUAAUUUCCAGCGUGGAAUCUAGUGACGUGGAGUUUACAUGAAAAGGAAAUCUCAGUAAUUCCCCCCAAAAAAUUGUUUUAUGUUGAUAGCAGAGGAAAAAGGAAAUAAAAAAAAAUCAGCAUAAAUUAUGGAUUGUGAUGAAUCAUUCAGUGAGAGCUGUUUUAUAAUCCGAGUAAAACUUACAUGAUAAAUUAUAUCACGCUGAUUUAAAAUGUUUUUCGUAAAAUCUGAAAAUAAAAAUAUUUUACUUAGUAUAUAAAAUACUUCAGUUUAAUAGCGUAACUAGAUAUUUUAAGGGUCUCCUAUAUACAUAUUUGUAGGGUCAGUCAGAUUGUGGAUAGUUGUAUUUAAG